CCUCCACAAACACUGAUAAAGUCUGUGAAGCUCCAGUCUGUCUCUCUCUCUGUCUAAUUGCCGCCAUGUUCCACUUGACCCAAGCUGCUCUGCUCGCUGUUCAUCUCGUAGUUAUGUGUCCGGUCCUCGCAGAGAUUUUACAGUUUUUUCCAGAUGACCACAGAGAUAUACUGGUGUCCAGCGGAGACUCUGUCACGUUCACUUGCAACACAACCACAAACAGAACAUCACAAAUCAACUGGACCAAAGGCAAAUUUUUUUUUUCUCACUCUGUGUCACUCAAUAAGACUGUUUCAAAUGUCACCUCUGACAGAGUGAGAAUAGACGUUGACUUUCCUUCAAAGCUGAAAAUUUCUAAUGCUCAGCAUGAAGACUCAGGACUAUAUCAAUGUGGGGUGACUGACAGAAAAGGUGCAUGGAGUAACAGGUGGAAUUUAACCGUGGCUGAGACACCUCCAGAAGUCCUGUCGUGGUAUUUUCUAUACACAAUUCUACGAGGAGUUGUGUUGCUCCUCUUUGGCAUCACUGCAGCUGUUUGCCUCCACAGAAAACUCAGGACCAGGACAUCAAAUCAGGACCCAGUCCAGAGCCAGCUUCAUCUUCAGUCAGGAGGAGAGGUGGUCAUCCCUCAAGCUCAGGCGGGCCCAGACAGAAGGACAAAUAACAAGCACAGGAGUCAGUACAGGGAAAGGCUCAACUCAAUCUAUGGUGUCUACUGAGUUAACAGGAAAUUCAACAGAAACACGAGACAGUUAUUUCAACUUCAAACCAGGUGCCACAAAAUAUGCAGGGCCGGGACCUCAAACAAGAGACGCUGUGACCACAGGACUCUGACUUUUACCCGGUUUCAUGUUAAGUUGGGAGGAGAGCACCUACAGGGGGCGCUUCCUCCUCAACCCCAAAGUUGUGCAGAAUACAGACUAAUUACAAGCGGUGGUCAAUAUGAACCAAUAGACCCAGUUCAAUGGCCUCUACUUGACUGAGAGGUAUGAAGAUCACAUUACAGCUGAAUAAGAAUACAGAGAGAUUUUGUACAGAUAUCACAAGAGAGAUGACAUUUUGUUUAUGAUGAUGUAUAAAAAUAAAUGAAUCCACAAAAUGUUCACAGAGGCCAAGCUUAAUGAGAUAUGUAUAUAUAUGUAUAUAGAUAUGUAUAUAUAUAUAUGUUGUAAAAAAUAUCCUAAAGCAAUGUUUCACAUUAUUCUAUGGUAACCAGGCAGCUCAUGUCAGCUUUCUGUAGCUGGGCAUGUGACCAUUACAUGCAUGAUAUACAAUAUUUCUACUCUGAUAUUCUGACAUUACUGACAAUAAUCCAUCAAUUAAUUUACCUUCCAUUAUGCUACAAA